AUUUCUGUCCUGCUAAGCAUUUAAAAUGUAAAGAGUACUAUUGGGUGUCAGAGAAAAUGGAGUAAAAAUUACAUUAUUUUCUAUAGAAAUGUAGUGAAGUAAAAGUAGUCAAAAAUAUAAAUAGUAAAGUACAGAUACAGAAAAAAACAAUUAAGUAAGUAGUACAUUAAAUUAUUUGUACUUAAGAAAUGUACACCAACCACUACAUGCAGCCAAUCGAGACCCCCAAACAUUACAUAUUUCUAACCCCCAAAAAUUCACUCUGUGUAUAAUUUACUAUUCCUGUCCUGUCCGUUUCUGUUGAAUGUAGAUCCUGUGCAAAGCGAAAUUGAUUAAUUCCAACAUGAAUUCCAAAUGUAUACACAAUUCCUUAAAUAGAUGGAAAAACAAAAAGCAUGCAAACGUAAAACAAUUAUAAUGAUGCAAAUCGAAUGUUGAGAGCCCCUAAUGUUGUCCUACUUUUUUAUGUAUCCUAUUAUUUUUAUGUAAAUCUUGGUCAGACCUUUGUCUAUAUGAUAUCGAAAAACAAUUUUGCUAUAAAUGUAAUCAUUGUGAAUAAAAAUUAUAAAAAUACUAAAAAGUAAAGCGCGCCUCUUCGUAUGUAUUUAAAGUCAUCAAGAAGUGCUCGGUCCUUACACAUAAUAAUGUGUAAAUAAAACUUAAAAUGCCUAUGAAACGAAUAUUUCCUAUCAAGCGAACGCUGGAUUAUCUCCAGAAAACAGUGUUACAGUAAAUUACAACACACAUGGACAGCUCAGCGACGGAGCAAGCUCAGUUUGCAGAUAGCUAAUUUAGCUAGCUGUUGGAUACAUUUCUCAAUGCAAAACAGUGAUAUUUCCAAAUCUCAAAUUGUCUGAUAUAGUUGUUAUAAUGUAUAGAUAUGCAAUUGAAAAUUAACCAGAACUAACCCAGUGAUAAUGACCGGGUAUUGAUGAGUGACUUGUUGCCAAUCGAAAAACUGAUAUAAGCGAGCUAACGUUAUAGCUGGCUAAAUACACUUAACCUGUUUUGCAUUUCCUAAUUCAUUUUAAUUAACUUAAUCAUUGACACACCCCUCACUACUGUCAUUGGUUACACUAAUUGCACAGUGUGUCUACAUAACCUGGUUCAAGUAUUCAUGACAUUACCCUGAGGAAGGCACAGUGAUGCUGAAACUUUGCGAGGCCCUGCAAGCGGAGGCUCUAGCCAGGAUGGAGGCUGCUAAACCCAGCCAAGUUUGGGCCUGAGAAGUACUGUCUGAAAGGAGGUCCCCUGCUCCAGCACCACCCAAGGAGAUGACAGGGAAAGACCGCGCUCAGAUGCUAGCUGCACAGGACUAAGACUGGAAGGAAUCAUGGACUGAACUGUUAUUUAGUAGUAUAAUGUUUCACUGGAAAUAUUGUGGAUGUUUCUGUACAUUAAAGAAAACCAGACAGGA